GCCCAGGUAGCUUAGCUGGUAGAACAUUGAACAUUUAAUCUAAAGGUCCAGGGUUCAAGUCCCUGUUUGGGUG
rnacentral:tRNA from 1 species